CUUCCCCUCUGUGAAACUUCAGUUUAAUGCUUUCAAUUAGAUCUUCAUACUCCAAAGGGUAGCUGCUAUACAGAAUUAGAUCAAUUAAAUAUUUGCCAAUAUCUCACUACUCCCACAUCCAUAUAGGCCCAACUGUGCACAACACUACAACAUUUCACUCACUAUGCUCAUAAACCAUCAACAAAACCUCAAAGUAACAGUAGGUUCUUUUAUACAAAAUGGUUGACCUAGACAUCACUGUCAUGAUUUUUGCCAGUGAACUGCCAAAGAUACCAGAAAUUACCUUAUUCAAUAAUGACACAUAUUCAAACAAACCAGUCACAAGGAUAGGAGAUGGAGGAAAUAUGAAACUUGACAGCACUACAACAUUUCACCCACUAUGUUAAAAAAAUCCUGCCUUUUCAUGCCUAUACACUAAUUAUUAAUUUGAUGUCUAUUGAUUCACAUAUAUUUCUCUAUCAAAAUCUAAAUCACCUGAUGAAGGUUUCCUCUAAAGAUCCCUGAAAAUGUAGAGCAAGAUAAACUACAUACCACUAAAACAGACCUAUAAAAUCCACACUUGAUACUAGAUGCUUAUCUAAACCCUCAAAAAUCCACAAUUCUUAUCAAGCCAUGCACCCAGAGGCACAUUUGAACUAUCAUCCACACAAGAAAAUCAAACCUCUUCCUUCAAUUCUCAUCCGAUUUGAAUACAAGUCCAUCCACGUUUGUAUGACCCAACAAAUAUCCAAAAUAGAAAGAAAAUGAAGAAGAAAAAGAAGCAUAGACCUUCAACACAAUUGGAUUGAGAAGAGGACGAGAAAUGAUGUACAAAAUCAAUGGUUUCCCCAUCCUGUUUCAAAUAUAACGCAUAGUAAUCACAAAUAUCUUACUCUUUACUAAAAGGAAACUCUAAAACAGUUCCAAGAAAAAAUUGUAGUUCCACUCUUACUUAAAGAUAUGAAUAAAGAAUUGAACUCAAACUAGGUUGCUCCUGAAGGUUUUCAACUAAAACUUUCCUCUGACUCAAAGUCAUUCCUUCCCCUCUGUGAAACUUCAGUUUAAUGCUUUCAAUUAGAUCUUCAUACUCCAAAGGGUAGCUGCUAUACAGAAUUAGAUCAAUUAAAUAUUUGCCAAUAUCUCACUACUCCCACAUCCAUAUAGGCCCAAUAGUGCACAACACUACAACAUUUCACUCACUAUGCUCAUAAACCAUCAACAAAACCUCAAAGUAACAGUAGGUUCUUUUAUACAAAAUGGUUGACCUAGACAUCAUUGUCAUGAUUUUUGCCACCAAAGGUACCAGAAAUUACCUUAUUCAAUAAUGACACAUAUUCAAACAAACCAGUCACAAGGAUAGGAGAUGGAGGAAAUAUGAAACUUGACA
rnacentral:lncRNA from 1 species